UACGUAGGGUGCAAGCGUUUGUCCGGAAUUAUUGGGGCGUAAAGAGCUCGUAGGCGGUUUGUCGCGUCUGCUGUGAAAUCCUGAGGCUCAACCUCGGGCUUGCAGUGGGUACGGGCAGACUAGAGUGCGGUAGGGGAGAUUGGAAUUCCUGGUGUAGCGGUGGAAUGCGCAGAUAUCAGGAGGAACACCGAUGGCGAAGGCAGAUCUCUGGGCCGUAACUGACGCUGAGGAGCGAAAGCAUGGGGGAGCGAACAGG
rnacentral:rRNA from 1 species